CAGACUUUAACUGCGUCCUACAGGACUGAACUAUGAUCCGAGCGACGCGUCUGUUUACGUGAAUGUCUCGGGGCGAGAAACACGGCGAAAGGUGUUUGUAUGCCCGUGAACAGGAAAAUAUACCAGCAGGUAGCAGUCACUGAUGCUUACUGCCCUUGUUCUGUUAAUAAUCCAUGGGAGUAGCUCAUUUUGACCCAGUUGUAAAUAAAAGAAGUGCUGCAAUGAACAGUUCUGUACUAUAAAGCAAGACUGCAAGUUUUCACUUCCUUAGCGAGUAGAUGAAUCUGGACAAUUUUAAGAAGUCAUAGAAAUUCACGCAUAAUCACGAAUUAAAUGCGAUAACAAAUCAAAGUUGGACGUAAAAUGCGCUGUUUUGAAAUUUGCCCUGUCGUUUGUCCCAGGAUUUAUGAAGAUUAAUUCAACAGUUGAAGGGUGGAAAUAAAUCCGACAAAAUAGGCAUCUAUGUCAUGUGUUAAUUUUAUAAACAACCCAAAAAUUUUGCUAAUCCUAAACUGUUCCUCACUUGUUUCUUCUUGACUAUCUAUCUACAAACGAAAGACGGCAGACCAUUUGGAACCAUGCUACAAGUCAGUCCGACCUUCAUCGUCACAGAGAAUACUGCGAGAAGAGUGCGCACCCAUGCAAGUUAAAUAAAACCAGAACAUGGGAGAGGUUAGGUGCUGUGAAAUUAACUUUUGAGACGAAUGUUCCUAUAAACAAUUAUCAUACCGACGAGUGUGCUUGGGAUGGGUCGUUAGCUUAAUUAUUUGUUUUAUAUAAUAACUAUUUAUGUUUUAUAUAAUAUAACUUUCGUCUACCUGACCACAUGAUAUGUUUAAAGUUCAUAUCGCUUUACUUACGUAAAAGCCCAUAAUGGCUGUAAUUGAAUAUGUUUUGUUUUUAGUAAAUAAUUUUUAUCUUUUUUAGUACACACCUAUUUUGUAUUUAUCUGUCAGAAAACUUACCUUAUUGUUUUCAUUGAACGCUCGCUUCUAUUAUUUAGGCUUCUUCACGAUUGAAUCCAAGUCCCCAAUCUCUGUAAUUAAAAAAAAACAAUCUAUCACUAUUAGUUUUUUUCGGUUACCCUGACAACUUAUUGCUAUCACUUUCGUCUACUUGACCAUAUAAUGACGUAUAUUCAUUAUACGCAUUGUGAUCAAAUGUUUUUUUGAUCACAAUGACACCAGCCAUUUAAACAUUUACGGUUUCAAGCUUUUUUAAUUUUUUUGAUACAUGGGAUAAAAAAUAAUAUUAAAUAAUAUACGUUAAUGAUAUAAUACAAAUUUUCAAUUUUCAAUAGAAGUACGUGCUCUUUCUUCGUAUAUGCUAAGAAAGGAGAAGUUUGGAAUGCAAAUAUGUUCAAGUGUUUAUUUAUUUAGUUACACAUCUUGUCAUAAUCAUUGUCAUAAGAUGACAAUGAUUCAUCAUUUUUUAAUUUUUCACACUAUCUUACACAACGUUUUUGUCAUCAACUAAUUUUUUUUGGAACGUGUGUGAAAAUACAGUACCAGUGUUUUAACUCUGCUCCCCUCCAUAACUUUUAAUAGGCUUUUCCAAGUGCGACUAAACUUGAUACAAAAUGGAUGCAGUGGUACCUGCUUUAAACUUAAUUCCUUUAAUUUUUAAUGAUAGGCAAACUCGUUAUUUAAAAUAUUUUUUCUUUUUUAAUUUUCGAAGAAAAUCCGAAAAAAUCGAGAAGUCGGGUUAAUAAAUACAAAACAAAAUUAAUCCCCUUGACGAAAUAUAGUUGUGUUAAGAGUUUAAUGUUUUUAAGAUAAGAAUUUCUUUUAAAUAUAAGGGGUAUUUUUGAGUAAUAGUCAAUACAUACCACUCUGAGAGGGUUAAAAAGGUUUUUUGGUACUCCGUUUUUGCUAAGCAAUAAAUAGGGCGACUUUUUGUUUGAAAUUUAUAUCUAUUUAAGUGUUUAUUUGUUUAAUUGCACACAGCUUUUCAUAAGAUGGCAUGAGUCAGUUCUUGUACUUUCUGUAUCGAUUUCUCUUAUCAAAAUCUAUACUUGACCGAACUUUCGCUAUUUUAUUGAAACUUGCCAUUUCAUUUUCCAAUAUCCUAUAAUUACAGUUUCUAUAACCCGUCAUGACAACAACAAUGACAAUAA